ACAGGACAAGGUUUCCGGURGGGUGAACCUGCGGAAGGAUCAUUACAAAAAUCCAACCAAAAAGAGGCGAGGACCGCGGCCGCCUGGUCUCCCCGGUUAAGAGGCACCCACCCUCAGCCCCCAUCUGCGCGCGGCGGGGGAUGCGGGGCCUCCCGUACUGGCCGGGCCGCGGGCCCCUCCGUCUUCACACAAACCCUCUGUGUACCUUGUCCCCAUUGCUUCCCUCGGAACGAGAGCUUCUCCGGGCUGGUCCGGGUGGCGGCGCCCCGUGGAACGGGCGGCGCAACCCGAUUGGCCACGCCUGGCUCGCUCCUCGCCCGGGGGGAGGAAAACCCAAACAAACCCUUUGCGCGAAAAACGACGUCUGAACAGAAAAGAAAACAAACUAAAAGUUAAAACUUUCAACAACGGAUCUCUUGGUUCCCACAUCGAUGAAGAACGCAGCGAAAUGCGAUAAGUAAUGUGAAUUGCAGAAUUCAGUGAAUCAUCGAAUCUUUGAACGCACAUUGCGCCCUCUGGUAUUCCGGGGGGCAUGCCUGUUCGAGCGUCAUAAAAACCUCUCCACCCCGGGUUCAUGAGAUCCGGGGCGGGUAUUGGCGGUGCGGAUCCCUCCCCCCUAUACAACGGGACGGAGGCGCCCACCGCUCAAAGCCAUGAAGAUAACCCAGCCGAAAGCGCCAGGGCGUCAACCGUGGAGUCAUGAGGAACCACGCCCCGCGAGGGGUGCCUCCCACUCUGGGCGACCGGUGUAUGGAAAUGCGGGCGUAAAAGCACGGGAAAUCCGCGGGAACCGGCGCCGUCUCUGGCUGCGGCCGUGGAUGAUCCCCGUGGGGGGCUAGAUACCCAAUCACAUUCAAGUUUUGACCUCGGAUCAGGUAGGKMYACCCSCUKWACUUAAGCAUAUCAGUAC
rnacentral:rRNA from 1 species